GGGGGCGAAACGGUUUCGACGAGAGGUAAUGAUACAAGGGUUGCAUGUGCGGGAUGCCGUUGGCCCGUUAAAAAACGGCGAAAACAUAAUCGCUAACGAUUAUGAUGUUGCAGUAGCUGCUUAAACAAUAAGUUAGCUACCGUUUCCGCUCUCUAAGCCUGCGGGGGAGAUGGAAACGACAUUUAGCGGGCUGGUCUGAACGGUAGGCUUCUGGCCGUUUGGACGAGACUUAAAGAAGCUGGCGGCGGGGACAUCCUGUUCCUGGGAGAUUCUUGCCGCGAGAUCCAAAGCAGGAACUAAACAUGUAGACGCCUUUGCUUGAAAACUUUCGGACGGGGGUUCGACUCCCCCCGCCUCCACCA
rnacentral:tmRNA from 1 species